rnacentral:rRNA from 1 species
GACGAGCCACACAAACGUUAUUCGGAAUUACUGGGCUUAAAGGGUGCGUAGGCGGCGCGGAAAGUUGGGUGUGAAAUCCCUCGGCUCAACCGAGGAAUGGCGCCCAAAACUACCGUGCUGGAGGAAGACAGAGGUGAGCGGAACUCAGGGUGGAGCGGUGAAAUGCGUUGAUAUCGGAAGGAACGCCGGUGGCGAAAGCGACGUGCUGGAUCUCUUCUGACGCUGAGGCGCGAAAGCUAGGGGAGCAAACGGG